CAACAAGUGUUCCAUUACUGAUAUAACCUACAGUUUCGUCUAUGAUGGAAAAGGCUCCACUGAGGCAGAAGCAAAGCAGGAUGCCCUGCAGAAAGCCCUGGACAUGCUAACUUUGCUCUUUGGGUUCAAGUCUUUGCCAAAGUGUCGCACAGUUGAGGAAACAGAGGUUCAGAUUAAUAAGUUACUGACAACAAAAGAUCAAAAAGACCUCAUUUAUUCACUCAAAUGCAACCUAUAUAAAAGCUCAGUUGAGCUCCUGUUCAAAGAUUAUACCAUGGAGAGCACACACGAAAAGAAGAAAAAAGAAAAUAUUAAUCAUCUCAGUAAACGCAUUCUGGGUCUGCUAGCAGUGGAGCCAGAACCAAAUAGUGUAUCUUUAAGAAACUGUCU